rnacentral:lncRNA from 1 species
UGCAACACUACAGUGCAGAUUAAGUUGUUGCUAAACCUGAAGCAUGAAUGUUAAUUGCACCUUAAUAUAAUCCUUUAUUGAAUCACCAAAUAAAUAAAUUAAUGUGUAAUAUCCAUCCAAUCAGAAGGCCUAAAUUCAGAUAUUAUAAAGUAAAAUUGACGGAAUAGAUUGUUUGAAACUAAAAUAAAAUAAUAUAUAAAAGUGGGAGAUUGAUUAAAUUAAAAUUGAUUAAAAAAAAAAGUCAAAACAAAUUUGAGAUUAAAUCCUAUCACUAUCAGAAGAGCAUAGUUGAAAUGAACUUUAUCAAUGAGAAAAGGAAAACCUGAAUCUGGGUUGAUUAGAAAUAAAUAAUGACAUUAAGAAGAGUUUGGGUGUAACUUACUGUGAAUUAGAUUAGAAGAGACGAGAUGAGAUAACGGAGAAGCAGAAUUGAAUUCCGUUUUGUGUAGUUGUAGUUGUUAGUGUAUUAUUGGUGAUUAUUACUUACUCAUUCAUUCACUCUAACGUCACGCACUUGACUACUACUACCGCUACUGUUUGUUUAGUAAGUUUAGAUUUUUAUACUGUUAAUUAAUUACAAUUACAGAUUCCUCCACUUCUCAAUCCAUCCAUUACGGUAACUUAUAUCCUUUUUCCCGUUUCGUGGCGCCACCCAUUUAUGUAAUGUAACUUUUCCUAAAC